AUCGUCACUUAGCGGGUCGGGUCGAAACCCGAAAGGAAUCGGGUCGGGUCAUCUACUCGACGGCUUCCUUCCGCCGGGCCAAGAGAGGGGCUCUCCCAGGGCUCAGAGAAUCCGACGGUCUUGCGCAGGGCGGACUCGGCGGCGUCGCGCUUCGACCUCGCUUUCGUCUCUUCCAAUCCGCGCAGUUGGUCCACAUGAAGGCAUAGCUUCGGCCCGAGCACGAUCGACUCGCCUCCGUGGCGAAUCCGAAGCCUCUCUUCCCGCCCGGUUUGGUGUCCAUGGAUAUUUCUUUUGUUAACCAGUCAUAUCGUAUGAUAGCGACUUAAGAGUAGAAUUGUUUUUGCUUAAAAGGAUUUGAUAAAGUGAUAGAGAAAGGAGAAGCAAAGGUUAAUAUCUAGGAUAAUAUCCGAAAUCAAUUUGAUCCCAAGGUAUCUCAUGUGAGGUAGUAUUCUGCAUCACACUAAAUGUGUUUCAUACAUCGUUCUAAAAAGUAUUAUUAUGGAUGUAGCAUAAUGCUACUCACACAUAUUGUGGAUAAAAGAAAUUUUAUUUAUUUAACCAUGUUUGUUAUUAUAAACCUUUCCUGUUUUAUAGACCCCAAUUACAAGAAAAAUAGAAAGAAGAAAAACUAACAGGAUAAGAUAAAAUACAACUAAGAAAAUUAUAUCCCCUGGAUCAAGAGUAAUCAAUCUUCCUUUUAUCUUCGGUAAAGAUACUUUUCUAAAUUUGUGUGUUAAAUAAUUUUUUACUUUUAGAAUUAUAUGAUUGAUUUUGACUUUCUUGUUGAUAUAAUCUUCAAUCAUGCCUUUACUCUUUGGAUAUAAUCUUUAAUCAAGCUCAAAUUUCAUCUUUUCUUUCAUUUUGGUUUGGUUUUUUUCUCCUUGGGCAAUCAAGGUACGUAAAAUAGAGAUCCAUAAGUUGUGAUGUGCAAACUUAUUACAUUUACAAAUAUCCUUCUAAAGUACCAAAGAUAAACUAAACAAAAUAACUUCUGGAUCAACCAUGGAUGCACCUUUUCUUUAUAUUUUUAAACAAGAAUAUCAACAGGAUUUUAUAUGAAUUUUUUUAUGGAUAAAUGUAGAUAAAAUGGCUCAUAGGUGAUCACUGAUAGCAAAGGAAAUUGAAAAUCUGCAUCUACUGGCUUGUUUAUUUAUUUAUUUAAGCUGAUUAUUUAUUUUUAAACUGGAUUUCCCAUGAGAUCUCUGAUAUGUAUCACCUUUACAUGUGAACUUAAGACAUUUUAGAGGACUAGAUGAUUUGGCUGAGCUUUGGUUGAUACAAAGACAAAAUCAGAAAAAAAAACAAAUAAUAAAAUGGAUGGAUAUCCUAUCCAUCUUGGGGUCCAAAUUUGUCUAGCUGAUUAGGCAUCAAGCAGAGAUUUAUGUCAACCAAAUAUGAAUUGUAAUCCAAUAAUGAUUUGGCAAGGUUCUAUAUAUGUCAAUUUACUAUGUUUAAUAGGAUAAUUUCAUGUAGGCUGCUGCCGUUGAUUGGUUAUCACAUAGCCAACCUUCUCUCUUUGUUAAGAAUGGUUCUCUUUAGCACUAGAGACAUGCCUGACUUCCAUGUUGCACAAUUGUAAGCUUUUUUCUUAACCACUACCAUCCUAUAACCAGAGAAAAGCAAUACAGAAGAUAGAAGAAACCAGAUCUUUGUUCCCUACCUGAGGCCUCAGAGCCAUCACUGCCUUCCCAUUUCCAUCCAUGAGCAGGAGCUCUCCUUCAAAGCACUUGUGCUUCCUUGAAUAAUUGUCGACCCGAAAGGCUAAUCUUCCCUUGUUAUCAUAAAUUGAGAAUCCAUCUGUUCCAUGGAAAGCCAUGCUUGACUUCUUCCAAACUGUCCACACUGAUGGAUAGUUUGUCACUGUUGCAAGCUCUUCAUCAUCAAUCUUUCUCAGUGAAGGAUGAACCCGAGACAUUUUUCAGCAAUAGCGGGGUGGAGAGAAAGGCUGUAAAGGAACUUCUCUUAUGGGCUUAUUAUAUAUGUAGGCUUGGAAGUAUGGAGUGAGGAAGUAGUGAAGGGAUAUCACUACUUGAUGGACAAAAGAUGAGGUACCCUUUUAUGGUUAUAACACUUUUUAGAAUUAAUAUGAAUAUAUUUUUUAGCGUUACAUAGGAUUUGAACUCUGUAAUGCCAGAGCUAACAUGUCAUUAUCAUGCAGAGUAGGACAAUGCUGCAGGGAUUGAGAUUCUAGUAGUAUUUCUAAUAGGCCGCAAGGGGAAAGCAUGGUACUUUGGUAUAUUGUGAAUCCAACCACCCUCUGUUUUCAUGUUGUGGUGAACUGGAGGCUAUGUUCAUGUGAGCAGAAAAGGCAAAUGUUCAAUUAUCCUUUCCACAAAAUGGUACUUUGAUGGCAUAAUUCACAAAUCAAUACUGUAUAUAAUAUCUGGUAGUUCCAAAGGGAAUACCAGUUAAAUUUGCAAAAAAGGGCCUACAAGGUAAUUGACAGCUGCCGAGGUGGGACUAUGGGAAUUUGCAAAUGUCACAAACUUCGUUGGCUUCCAUGAAAGCAGAGGCAACUUACAGAUGACAGAUAAGACAAGCUUACAGAUCAUUAGGCUUUGUUUUCUCACAACACUUGCAUGACUGACAGAGAUGCCAUCUUAUUUGGUUGCCUCUAGAAAGUAUUUAUUAUGUAUGGCCUCCUUCCCUAGAGCUAUAAAAAGCAAAAUAUAAGUAGCUCUUGGUAAAGUUAUAUUUCUGAACAACUAAGAUUAUGCUGAUGGAGAACAGCUAAAAGAAGAGUUUGCUCAGAAUCAAGCCUCGUGACAUAUCUAUUUCAGAAUCAUGCUUUUAGAGUACCUCUUCUAAUGUGAUAUAAUUGUGGGAGAAGUGGUCAUUGCACCCAAUUGUAGUACAGCUUCAUUUAAUAUCAUUUUUAUCAUCCACAUGGUAUCUUUUUAAUUAAGGCCCUUAGAGAACAUUAUUUCUUGAAGUUUUUCCUCAUCCACCUGAGCUGCAUAUAUUUUAGGGGCAAUUAUAUUUGUAUGCUUUUAAAAGUGAAAAUUUCAUGUCUACUUCUGUAACUAUGCAAAUAUUCGUAUGUAUCUAUAUAAAUGGGGUAUUAUGUAUUUGUUGUUAGAUUCCUGCAUAUAUUAAACCCAUUAUAUCUGCUUAAUUAUGAUAUGUUUAGAUUUUUUUUAAUUUAAAUCUUGAAAUACCUAAAAUAACCUUGUUCCUGUGCUCUUUUACAUUUGUUUUUGGUCUUGCCCUAUCUUUUCCUUUCUUUUAUUGUCAUUAACCCAUUUUUAUCCAUCUCUGUCGUAGCUUUGCAGAAAGAAAUUUCCCGAGGAAGGAGACCAAAUAGAUACGAGAGAAGAGGAAGCAAAGGUAAGGUGGAAUGGAGAAAGAGGUAACAGGCGAUGACAUACAAGAGAAAUGAAGAUGGAACUUUACAUAUCUUCCAUAGACUUUCAUAGAGAACAAAUACAGAUUAUUUUUUUCUCAUUAAACAUGCCAAAUUACAAUUAGGAAACACAGGUGUGGUGGGAAGAUUCAAUGCCGGUUAGAAACAUUGUUUAUGUUAUUAAUGGUGAUCUAAUACUUAAAAGUGUACUAGGAUUUUUGCUGCCUGCAAUGUUAGAUCGACCUUUUUCUUUA